UACAGAGGUCCCGAGCGUUGUUCGGAUUCACUGGGCGUAAAGGGUGCGUAGGUGGCUUGAAAAGUUUGAUGUGAAAGCUCAGGGCUUAACCCUGAAAUGGCAUUGAAUACUGUCGGGCUGGAGGUUUGGAGGGGGGGGACUGGAAUUCUUGGUGUAGCAGUGAAAUGCGUAGAUAUCAAGAGGAACACCAGUGGCGAAGGCGAGUCCCUGGACAACACCUGACACUGAGGCACGAAAGCUAGGGGAGCAAACAGG
rnacentral:rRNA from 1 species